AGUCGAACGAGAGAUGAGGAGCUUGCUCUUCAAAUCGAGUGGCGAACGGGUGAGUAACGCGUGAGGAACCUGCCUCAAAGAGGGGGACAACAGUUGGAAACGACUGCUAAUACCGCAUAAGCCCACGGCUCGGCAUCGAGCAGGGGGAAAAGGAGCGAUCCGCUUUGAGAUGGCCUCGCGUCCGAUUAGCUAGUUGGUGAGGUAAUGGCCCACCAAGGCGACGAUCGGUAGCCGGACUGAGAGGUUGAACGGCCACAUUGGGACUGAGACACGGCCCAGACUCCUACGGGAGGCAGCAGUGGGGAAUAUUGCACAAUGGGGGAAACCCUGAUGCAGCGACGCCGCGUGGAGGAAGAAGGUCUUCGGAUUGUAAACUCCUGUUGUUGAGGAAGAUAAUGACGGUACUCAACAAGGAAGUGACGGCUAACUACGUGCCAGCAGCCGCGGUAAAACGUAGGUCACAAGCGUUGUCCGGAAUUACUGGGUGUAAAGGGAGCGCAGGCGGGAGAACAAGUUGGAAGUGAAAUCCAUGGGCUCAACCCAUGAACUGCUUUCAAAACUGUUUUUCUUGAGUAGUGCAGAGGUAGGCGGAAUUCCCGGUGUAGCGGUGGAAUGCGUAGAUAUCGGGAGGAACACCAGUGGCGAAGGCGGCCUACUGGGCACCAACUGACGCUGAGGCUCGAAAGUGUGGGUAGCAAACAGGAUUAGAUACCCUGGUAGUCCACACCGUAAACGAUGAUUACUAGGUGUUGGAGGAUUGACCCCUUCAGUGC
rnacentral:rRNA from 1 species